AGAGUUUGAUCAUGGCUCAGAACGAACGCUGGCGGCAGGCCUAACACAUGCAAGUCGAACGCUCGUAGCAAUACGAGAGUGGCAGACGGCUGAGUAACACGUGGGAACCUUCCCUAUGGUUCGGAAUAGCUCAGGGAAACUUGAGGUAAUACAGGAUAAGCCCUUACGGGGAAAGAUUUAUCGCCAUUGGAUGGGCCCGCGCCGGAUUAGCUAGUUGGUGAGGUAACGGCUCACCAAGGCGACGAUCCGUAGCUGGUCUGAGAGGAUGAUCAGCCACACUGGGACUGAGACACGGCCCAGACUCCUACGGGAGGCAGCAGUGGGGAAUAUUGGACAAUGGGCGCAAGCCUGAUCCAGCCAUGCCGCGUGAGUGACGAAGGCCUUAGGGUUGUAAAGCUCUUUUGGCGGGGAAGAUAAUGACGGUACCCGCAGAAUAAGCUCCGGCUAACUUCGUGCCAGCAGCCGCGGUA
rnacentral:rRNA from 1 species